rnacentral:lncRNA from 1 species
GGCGUCCUUCCUCCCGGGGGCCCAGAAUACACUAGCAGACCAGCUCAGCAGAUCCUUCCUCACCCACGAGUGGUCACUUUGCCCAGAUGUAGCUCACUCCAUCUUCCAAAAGUGGGGGUUUCCCCACGUAGACCUCUUCGCCUCCCGCAGCAACCGGAAGUGUCAGAGGUUCUGCUCUUUCCAGGGCCUAGCCCCGGGCUCGAUAUCGGACGCCUUCCUAAUGUCUUGGUCAAACCACCUGCUUUACGCCUUCCCACCCUUCCCAUUGGUGGGCAAGGUUCUGCUGAAACUUCGCAGGGACGGGGCUCGCCUCAUUCUGAUCACUCCUGCGUGGCCCCGACAACACUGGUACACCACGUUGCUGGACUACUCGAUAGCCAGCCCAAUUCCCUUGCCCCUCUAUCAGGACCUGAUCACGCAAGACCACGGCAGGCUUCUCCAUCCAGACCUGCAAUCCUUCCAUCUUACGGCGUGGCUCCUCCUUGGUUAACUCAAUCAGAGUUGCGCUGCUCUACCCCGGUGCAGGAGGUACUCCUGGGCAGCAGGAAACCCUCCAUUCGUGCUACAUACUUGGCCAAGUGGAAGCGGUUCUCUUGCUGGUGUCAGCGGCAGGAUGCAGCACCUACCACGGCUCCCAUACCCAUGAUACUAGAUUACCUCUUGCAUCUCAAGCAGCAGGGUCUUGCACUAUCGUCCUUGCGAGUACACCUAGCGGCUAUCUCCACUUUCCACCCUGGAGAAGGCGCAUACUCUGUUUUUUCCCACCCUAUGGUCUCAAGGUUCCUCAAAGGGCUGGAACGCCUUUUUCCCCUGGUGCGGCGCCCCGCCCCGACCUGGGACCUCAAUUUGGUUCUGACGAGACUUACAGCCCCCCCGUUCGAACUCUUGGCGACCUGCUCACUCCUAUAUUUAUCAUGGAAGACGGCGUUCCUGGUGGCCAUUACAUCGGCUAGGAGAGUCUCAGAGCUUCAUGCUCUGAUGGCGGACCCGCCUUACAUGAUAUUCUAUAAGGAUAAGGUGCAGCUACGCCCGCAUCCAGCGUUCCUCCCGAAGGUGGUUUCGUCUUUUCACCUCAACCAGGACAUAUUUCUCCCGGUUUUCUUCCCUAAGCCCCAUGCAUCACAUAGGGAGCAACAGUUGCACU